CCCUUAGAUGUCCUGGGCCGCACGCGCGUUACACUGAUGCAUUCAACGAGCUUAUAACCUUGGCCGAGAGGCCCGGGCAAUCUUGUUAACGUGCAUCGUGAUAGGGAUAGAUUAUUGCAAUUAUUAAUCUUCAACGAGGAAUGCCUAGUAGGCGCAAGUCAUCAGCUUGCGUCGAUUACGUCCCUGCCCUUUGUACACACCGCCCGUCGCUCCUACCGAUUGGGUGUGCUGGUGAAAUGUUCGGAUCGGCCGUUUGUCGCGGUUUCCGCGUCAUGUGGCUGAGAAGUUCAUUAAACCCUCCCACCUAGAGGAAGGAGAAGUCGUAACA
rnacentral:rRNA from 1 species